CCUACGGGUGGCAGCAGUGAGGAAUAUUGGUCAAUGGACGAGAGUCUGAACCAGCCAAGUAGCGUGAAGGAUGACUGCCCUAUGGGUUGUAAACUUCUUUUAUAUGGGAAUAAAAUGUUCCACGUGUGGGAUUUUGUAUGUACCAUAUGAAUAAGGAUCAGCUAACUCCGUGCCAGCAGCCGCGGUAAUACGGAGGAUCCGAGCGUUAUCCGGAUUUAUUGGGUUUAAAGGGAGCGUAGGUGGAUUGUUAAGUCAGUUGUGAAAGUUUGCGGCUCAACCGUAAAAUUGCAGUUGAAACUGGCAGUCUUGAGUACAGUAGAGGUGGGCGGAAUUCGUGGUGUAGCGGUGAAAUGCUUAGAUAUCACGAAGAACUCCGAUUGCGAAGGCAGUUCACUGGACUGCAACUGACACUGAGGCUCGAAAGUGUGGGUAUCAAACAGGAUUAGAUACCCUUGUAGUC
rnacentral:rRNA from 1 species